rnacentral:lncRNA from 1 species
AGCAUUCUAAAUAGAUCAGAGAGGUGGGAUGCUGGAGUCAGGACAAGGACUCCAGCGAGGACUAAAGGAGGCACUGGAGGGGGUCCCAGAGGAAAGACAAGGAUUAUAGAAAAUGCCAGAAAAAUGGUGAUCCACUGAGAGAACUGGCAAGGGCCAGAAAGAGAGCCAGCUUUGGAUGGGGAAAGAUGGAGAAGUGGAGAUUUAGGAGUCAUAAAUGCUGAGGGUCCCCCUAAGGAACUGUCAAGUUGAAACUGAAUGGCAAGGCGAAGGGGGUUACAGAAGCAGCGGGCUCAGCUGAGGAAAGAAAAGAAUCCAAGUCACUCACCCAACCUAAAAGUUUAAAACCUCAAGGACAAAGCUCCAAAACCAAG